rnacentral:rRNA from 1 species
UACGUAGGGGGCGAGCGUUGUCCGGAUUUAUUGGGCGUAAAGGGCGCGUAGGCGGCUUGGCAAGUGGAUGGUGAAAUCCCUCGGCUUAACCGAGGAACUGCCGUCCAAACUGCUUCGCUUGAGACCGGGAGAGGUGAGUGGAAUUCCCAGUGUAGCGGUGAAAUGCGUAGAUAUUGGGAGGAACACCAGUGGCGAAGGCGGCUCACUGGACCGGUACUGACGCUGAGUGCGCGAAAGCGUGGGGAGCAAACGGGG